UUUUUUUUCAAAGUGAGUGAGACAGAAAGAGAGACAGAGUGGAAACAAGUGAGAAAGUAUUGAGAGACUACAAACAUUUACUUUUGAGUUUUGCUGCUCAAGAAUGGAAAGAAGAGAAACUAUUGGCUGAUUUUUGCAAUCUGCAACAGUUUCAGAGGAUCUUCUCCAUGAGCUU
ensembl:lncRNA